rnacentral:lncRNA from 1 species
CGGGGCUGUACCCUCUGGCCCAAGGCCACGUGCAGGCGCAGUCUGUAGUGGAGACCCCGACGGAGGGCAGAGAAACAGACAGUGAGAGCGGACGCUGCACCUGGAUGGUGAGAAAACGAAUCCAAAGGCAACAAGCUCCUGAGCCAUAAAUUGUUUAAAGGUUCACCUGCUUUCAUUGGUUUGUGUUUAUACUGAAACUUGACUGCAUAGCACUUUCACAUGUGUAUAUUGGGUUCAUCCAUGCUCAUGUCAUACCUCUGAGAUCUCCUCUGGUCUGUAAUUUUGGAAGCUCAAAAUCCCAGAAGUAUGCUGAACGACAUCGGGCAGAGGAGAAAGCUUUAAAGCAUAGAUGUGCGUUGCUGUUGAAGUUUCUUCCUGACAUACAUAAAUGAAAUCAAAGAAGAACGAGGUGAGCCUGUGACACUUCUGGGACCUCAUCACUUUCAUUGGACAGAAAAGGCUCUGCAUUCAACCAGCAGCUCCAGGGGUUAUAAUCCAAAACAGCCUUUUAGACCUGGAACUUACAAUUUCCUUCCAAAUGACUGUGGGAGCAUGGCUAGAUAAUUAUACAUCUCAACCAUUGUGUAAACCAAUUUAAUUAACAUUUUUCAGGCAUGUCACAUUUGUACAAUCACUAAAUAAUUUUCUAAAAUUAUGUUGCCUUAGAAAUUGCCACGUAUCAACCUGGAUUAUUCUGACUCAUGGCCCUUAUCAUGUUUGAAACAAUAAAAGUUUUUUCUUUGCAAAUCAGUUCAUUUAUUUAUUUAUUUUUACUAUGAUUUGGUACUUCCAUUGAAGAUGAUUCAUACUUACAGGCUACCGAGAUGCUGUAUUCAAUAUAUUUAUGUGUUAUGUUUAAUUACCAUUGACUUCAUCAAAGCUGGUAUUUUUUAUAAGCAGUUAUAGUAUUA